rnacentral:pre_miRNA from 1 species
AUGUAGUGUGACAUGCCCGUUGGGUUAUUACUCUAAUGAAUUAUUUAUUAUUUAAUUGAUUUUUGGGAACGGGGUGUUACAAUUGG